UAAAUCCGUUUAAAAAGCGCAAGAGCUCUCCGUGCUGUAUCAAACACACGUACGUAUAAACAUACGCGCGCGUGCGCACGCACACACACACACACACACACACACCACUCGACACCUUGUAACGCCGUCGCUCCUUGUCCUGUGGAACUCGGGUAAUCUGAGCAGUGGAACACUCAGCUGAGAUCUUUGCGACUCUUGACAGCUUGAAGACGUGACGCACGUUUUUAAACUAAACUGUUUCCCCUGGAGAAAUGGGCGUGAAGGUACUCCUGUGCUUCCCAUUCUACAGACGCUGCAAACAGCGAUGCAAAGACCAAGAAUGCCCUCCCGAAGCAGAACCUGCAGUACGAAAGCUGAGCCAAAGCCACGUCUCUGCUCAACAGCAUCGACAGUCAGUGAGGGUGACAGUGG